rnacentral:lncRNA from 1 species
CAAACAAGCACUGACAAAAUUAUUAUAAACUAUUGGGUUUCCAUUCCUGGUCUGACUGAAGGAAGUCUCAAAGAAAGAACUGAAUUAGAUAAGGAACAGAAUUUGGUGACUGCCCUGAUAAGCAACAAGAAAAACAAGCCUAAGGAUGAUGACUUGGGGGUUUGGAGUCUGUGGGAUGAGGGGCUGUGUUUAAAAGAACUGUCCAUUCCAAGCGUCAGGCGAUAACUUAGGGAAGAAAUAACAAAUUUGGCUUUACUCUGGCUGAGGGUAAAGGGGCUGGGCAAGGUGUCUGUGUGGAGAUGCACUGUAGGAGUUUGAAGUGGCUAAGGGAUGGUAACCCGGGGGAGAAAGUAGUACACAGAAACCCAGAGGCCAGAGGCUGGGGGAAGCCCCACCUUAGAGUGUCUAAAUGGUAAAGGGGAAGUAGAAGGUAGUUAAAAGUGAAGAACAUAAUGCAGUUUCCUGUAAGCCAAGGUACAAAACUAUGAGCCACAUACCCUCACUAUAGGAGUGGCCUGUGGUGUUUAGGGAAGUGAAGGAGCUAGCCCCAAACGACAGGGCUCAGAUGGGCAGAGCUGGGGCUUAGGACCUCAAGGGCUCUGUUGGGCCAGCCACUGUGCCUCACUCUUCUGGGAAAUCUCCCUGAUCCUCACACCAUACCCAGUACCUUCCUUCAUGCUAUCAGCAUACACUAUGUGUCAGUUCCUCGAGUCUCAGGGACUAUUUCAUAUUUGAAUUCAUAACUCAGCCUAGAAUUAUUUUCCACUUAAAAUGGCCAAGGAAAAACAAAAACUUCAUAGUGAGAUAUUUUUGUCAUACAGGCAGUUCUGUUUUACAGAAUGUGUGAAGUGUUAUUUAAAAAAAUAAAAUAAAAUAAAUGAAAAC